rnacentral:rRNA from 1 species
GACGAACGCUGGCGGCGUGCUUAACACAUGCAAGUCGAACGGAAAGGCCUGCUUUCCCUUGUGUGUUGCGGGUACUCGAGUGGCGAACGGGUGAGUAACACGUGAGUUAUCUUCUCCCAACUUUGGUAUAAGCCUGGGAAACUGGGUCUAAUUCCCGCCAGCACCGCAGGGUGGUGCCGGUGGUUGCAAACGAUGUUCUAGUGGUUGGGGCUGAGCUCGCGGCCUUUCAGCUUGUUGGUGGGGGAAUGGCCUACCAAGGCGGCGACGGGUAGCCGGCCUGGGGGGGUGGACGUCCACAUUGGGACGGAGAUACGGCCCCUACUCUGCCGGGAGGCAGCAGUCGGGAGUCAUGCACGAGGAGCGGAACCCUGAUGCGGCGACGCCGAGUCGGCGAUGACGGCUUUCGGGUUGUGGCCUUCUGGCGGCAGCGAGGUAGCCACCUGGUUGGAAGGUUGGUGACGGUAAUGGUAGAAGAAGCACCGGCUAACUACGUG